rnacentral:rRNA from 1 species
GAGGGGUGCAAGCGUUAUUCGGAAUCAUUGGGCGUAAAGGGUGCGUAGACGGCUUAUCAAGUCAACUGUUAAAUUCUCCGGCCUAACUGGAGGUCAGCAGUAGAAACUGAUAGGCUUGAGGUUGGAAGAGAGAAGUGGAAUUCUCGGAGUAGCGGUAAAAUGCGUAGAUCUCGAGAGGAACACCGAUGGCGAAGGCAGCUUCUUGGUCCAUACCUGACGUUGAGGCACGAAAGCGUGGGGGAGCAAACAGGAUUAGAUACCCUGGUAGUCCACGCCGUAAACGAUGAUCACUAGACGUUGAUUCUGCUUGCAGAAUGAGUGUCGUAGCUAACGCGCUAAGUGAUCCGCCUGGGGAGUACGGUCGCAAGGCUA